GCCCCCUCAGGUGAUUUUGGGGUGCCCCUGAGGUGAUUUUGGGGUCCCCCAUCCCCCCCAGGUGUUUUUGGGGUCCCCCUGAGGUGAUUUUGGGGUCCCCCAUCCCCCCCAGGUGAUUUUGGGGUCCCCCAUCCCCCUGAGGUGAUUUUGGGGUCCCCCUGAGGUGAUUUUGGGGUCCCCCAGCCCCCCAGGUGUUUUUGGGGUGCCCCUGACCGCGGAUCUCCAGGCGACACUCGGUCAGGGCCUCUCCCAGCUCGUUGACGGCGCGGCAGGUGUAGGUGCCGCCGUCGAAGGGCCCCGGUUUGCGGA